rnacentral:snRNA from 1 species
UUCUGUUAAUUUGAAAGUUUGGU